CACCAGCCCCUCGAGUGGUGGGGAUGAUUAUUUGGCCUAAAGCGUCCGUAGCCGGCCGGGUAAGUUUCCCGUUAAAUCCAGCGUCUCAAGCGUUGGACUGCGGGAAAUACUGCCUGGCUAGAGAGUGGGAGAGGUGUACGGUAUUCUGGGGGUAGGGGCGAAAUCCUUUGAUCCCCGGAGGACCACCAGUGGCGAAGGCUGUACACUAGAACACGUCUGACGGUCAGGGACGAAAGCUGGGGUAGCGAACCGGAUUAGAUACCCGAGUAGUCCCAGCUGUAAACGAUGCAUGCUAGGUGUUGGGUUGGCCACGAGCCACCCCAGUGCCGCAGGGAAGCCGUUAAGCAUGCCGCCUGGGAAGUACGAUCGCAAGAUUGAAACUUAAAGGAAUUGGCGGGGAGCACCACCAGGCGUGAAGCCUGCGGUUU
rnacentral:rRNA from 1 species